rnacentral:tRNA from 1 species
GCAGUCGUGGCCGAGUGGUUAAGGCGAUGGACUCGAAAUCCAUUGGGGUCUCCCGCGCAGGUUCGAAUCCUGCCGGCUGCG